AUGGCGCAGUGGAACGGCAUAGAGCAGGCAGCGACUAUCACGCAGCUGGUGGGAGUGGAUGCGUUGGGGCUCAUCUCGACGAUUGUACAGGCAGCACAGACAGUUCAGCGCAACAAGGAGACCUGCCAGGAGCUCGUGCAGGAUGUGCAGUUGAUAAAUGGCCUGCUAUGGAUGCUGCAAAACCCAGAAAUUAUGCAGCGAGAAGAGAUUGUAAAUGCACUCAAUGGACUGGAGGGGACGCUUCGGGAGGCGUACAGCCUCGUCAGCUCCUGCCAGGACUGCAGCACCACAUAUCGCAUAUUCAUGGGAUGGAAACACACUGACCAGUUCCGACGCGUGAAGAAGAAGAUUGCCAAGCACCUCCGCUUCUACCCCAUGAUCUUCCAUGCUGACAUAACUUGUCGUCUCGAAAGAAUAAGCAACGGCACGCUGUCGACGUGCUCAUCUCAGGAUGCAGGAGGAGUGCUGACAUCAUCUACCAGACACUCAAACUCUGAAGCUCGGACUGAAUGUAGUUUGUGGCCUGUUGAAUUAGAAAAAUCGCAGGCAUGCAGGAGCGCUGAGUCUAUUGCAGUUGAGGAACACCAGCUAACAAGUUACCAGGAAAUUGCUGAACCUUUUGCUAGGAAGCAGAGGUUCCGGUGGGGUCACUGUUUGCCCUGGAAAACGGUAGAAACAGCUCCUUGUAUUCAUGAACUCAACGGACCAGGGUUUUCAGGUUUCCAUUUCUCCCAAUUGUUGGUUGCUACAAAUAAUUUUGCAUUCCAAUGCAAAAUUAGAAGUUGUGGAUACGCUGAUGUGUAUAAGGGACGAUUGGACAGUGGACUUGAAGUCAUGAUCAGAAGAUUUCAUCAAAAUAACUCCCAUUCUUCACUCACAUUUGAAAAUUAA
rnacentral:rRNA from 1 species